rnacentral:rRNA from 1 species
GAUGAACGCUGGCGGCGUGCCUAAUACAUGCAAGUCGAGCGAACGGACGAGAAGCUUGCUUCUCUGAUGUUAGCGGCGGACGGGUGAGUAACACGUGGAUAACCUACCUAUAAGACUGGGAUAACUUCGGGAAACCGGAGCUAAUACCGGAUAAUAUUUUGAACCGCAUGGUUCAAAAGUGAAAGACGGUCUUGCUGUCACUUCUAGAUGGAUCCGCGCUGCAUUAGCUAGUUGGUAAGGUAACGGCUUACCAAGGCAACGAUGCAUAGCCGACCUGAGAGGGGGAUCGGCCACACUGGAGCUGAGACACGGUCCAGACUCCUACGGGAGGCAGCAGUAGGGAAUCGUACGCAAUGGGCGAAAGCCUGACGGAGCAACGCCGCGUGAGUGAUGAAGGUCUUCGGAUCGUAAAACUCUGUUAUUAGGGAAGAACAUAUGUGUAAGGAACUGUGCACAUCUUGACGGUACCUAAUCAGAAAGCCACGGCUAACUACGUG